rnacentral:lncRNA from 10 species
AAAAUUGAUUGAGUGUCUUUUGUUUGCAGGCCAUAAGGAAUGCAAUCAUGGAUGAGAUAAAUGUGAAGACCACUGGAAUGCAGUGAGUGCUGGAAUUCAGAGAAAGCUGGAGAAACAUGCAGAGAUGACAAUCACUUCAAGGAAGAUGACUAUCAGCAUGUCUUUUCCUUGACCUUCACCAUUAUUAGAUUAUGUCUGAUGGUUUGAGAUGGACUUGGCUGGCAGGAAAGGCCAAAAGGAGCAUAAGGAGUCUUAGCUGUUGGCCUGCUCUCAAACAUGGGACCAAGGGUUUUGAGAGCAGGCCAAUUACAACACAGUGUGUUGAGGUUGUAGCCACAUUGACAUGGUGGUAUGCUUGAGAGACAGCGGCUAAGGAGGUAAGUAUGAAUAAUUAUAGAAUAAUCUAUACUGUUAAAACCUAAAUCUCAAGAACCCUAUGGUCAGUGCAGGAAUCUACAUCAACAGUGCUAUCAUAGAUACUUUUAGAACUGUGCUAGACAGUCUUCAGCAGCAACACCUAGUGGCAACUACAGCAGUAGUAGACUGAUCUCACUCUCCAAUCUCUCAUUACUUUGCAUUUGAAGGACAACUAAUCAAAUACCAUUUAAACUAUAUAAGUCCAGGUGUUCUCGGGAAAUUGAAAGUGGAGAAUGCCUCUAGAAGAGGAAAAGAUGAUUCUUGUGAUAAUGUGGGAAUGUUGGCUCUUGAGCAAAAAUUUUAAAACUGAAAUAGGUUGGAUCAGUUAGUUAUUAUUACAAUAAGGCUGUGCAGUGCAUGGCAUUUCAAUAGCAUUCAGCAAUAAGCAUUCUUACAGGUUAAUGUGCUCACUGGAGUUCAGCUGAUCUAAGCUGAGCACAGCUAGGCCACUUUGCUUCUCAUUGCAGAUCUGCAGGUGAGCUGAAACCGCUUUAUUCUACAUGCCUCACGUCCUUCUUGGACUAUCAGGCUAGCCAUGGCAUGUUCCUCAAAUAGUAGUGGUAGAGGCGCCAGAGGGGAGAUUCAAAUGCACAAGUAUAUUUUAAGACCCUACUUGUGUUAUGUUUUCUAACCUCCUAUUAGCCGUGAAGCCCUGUGGCUGAGCUCAAAGGGAUGGGGCAGAAAAGUGUAUUCCUUCCAUAGAGGAACAGAAAAACUUGCAUGGCAAAAGCAUAAAAACUCAAAGCCAAUAACUGAAUCUACAACAGAUGUGAGCAUAUUUUAUAUCCUGAAUUGAGGAAAAUGGCUUAACAGAUAAUUACAGAUUUGGAUGAGCUUCAAGGUUUUAUACAAUGCUUGUAAAAUAAAACACAUUGCUUUUUGCUAUAUUGAUAUGAG